UUCCUUCACAGCAGCUUGUUGGAAAUAGCUGCUGUGUGGAAGAGAUUUUGCAGCCAUGUUUGCUUUAAUGCUGGCAAACAGCUAACGCUGUCUUCCUGAGACACGGAGGCAGAGGAGACAGACACAGUCCCAGAGCAGAGAUGAGUCAGGGCACAAGGAACAGGUCUGUGUGCCAGGUAGCUUUUCCAGAAGAUUAAUUGCAAAAUUCAAGGUUUGGGAGAGCUUAGAACACCAUCGUUGCUUCACAGAUGUUGCGGUCAGGCAGACGGAGCCCAUGUGAAUGAGAAAACCACAGGUUUCUUAUUUUGAGUCCACAAUUAAAGCCUCCAAGUUUCAAGGCUGGCAAGGUUGUAGUAAAGAGGAAACCAGACUCACAGGGAGGAAAGAAGAGGCAAGCAAGAAGAUGCCAAUAAAGGCAGAGAAGACAGAAAAUGGAGGUAGAAAGAAAAGUCUGCACAUACUCAAGGAGCUCCACUGCUUUCCUGUGAUACUGGUGCCUCACUGGACCCAUGAGGCAUUUUUGCAAUACACAUAAUAAAGAAAUGGUGGUAAGAGACACAUGGAGAAGAACAAUUAAGGACAACAAUGAGAAAAAAAUUUAC